rnacentral:rRNA from 1 species
GAUGAACGCUGGCGGCGUGCUUAACACAUGCAAGUCGAACGAUGAAGCCCAGCUUGCUGGGUGGAUUAGUGGAGAACGGGUGAGUAACACGUGAGUAACCUGCCCUUAACUCUGGGAUAAGCCUGGGAAACUGGGUCUAAUACCGGAUAGGAGCGUCCACCGCAUGGUGGGUGUUGGAAAGAUUUAUCGGUUUUGGAUGGACUCGCGGCCUAUCAGCUUGUUGGGGAGGUAAUGGCUCACCAAGGCGACGACGGGUAGCCGGCCUGGGAGGGUGACCGGCCAAACAGGGACUGAGACACGGCCCAGACUCCUACGGGGGGCAGCAGGGGGGAAUAUUGCACAAUGGGCGCAAGCCUGAUACAGCGACGCCGCGUGAGGGAUGACGGCCUUCGGGGUGUAAACCUCUUUCAGUAGGGAAGAAGCGAAAGUGACGGUACCUGCAGAAGAAGCACCGGCUAACUACGUG